GCGGGUCUAUACAUGCAGUCGAGCGGACAGAAGGGAGCUUGCUCCCGGAUGUUAGCGGCGGACGGGUGAGUAACACGUGGGUAACCUGCCUGUAAGACUGGGAUAACUCCGGGAAACCGGAGCUAAUACCGGAUAGUUCCUUGAACCGCAUGGUUCAAGGAUGAAAGACGGUUUCGGCUGUCACUUACAGAUGGACCCGCGGCGCAUUAGCUAGUUGGUGGGGUAAUGGCUCACCAAGGCGACGAUGCGUAGCCGACCUGAGAGGGUGAUCGGCCACACUGGGACUGAGACACGGCCCAGACUCCUACGGGAGGCAGCAGUAGGGAAUCUUCCGCAAUGGACGAAAGUCUGACGGAGCAACGCCGCGUGAGUGAUGAAGGUUUUCGGAUCGUAAAGCUCUGUUGUUAGGGAAGAACAAGUGCGAGAGUAACUGCUCGCACCUUGACGGUACCUAACCAGAAAGCCACGGCUAACUACGUGCCAGCAGCCGCGGUAAUACGUAGGUGGCAAGCGUUGUCCGGAAUUAUUGGGCGUAAAGGGCUCGCAGGCGGUUUCUUAAGUCUGAUGUGAAAGCCCCCGGCUCAACCGGGGAGGGUCAUUGGAAACUGGGAAACUUGAGUGCAGAAGAGGAGAGUGGAAUUCCACGUGUAGCGGUGAAAUGCGUAGAGAUGUGGAGGAACACCAGUGGCGAAGGCGACUCUCUGGUCUGUAACUGACGCUGAGGAGCGAAAGCGUGGGGAGCGAACAGGAUUAG
rnacentral:rRNA from 1 species